GACCCACAGCGGCUGUGCCGCGCUCGCUGUCCCCAGGCUCCAACCCGCCGGGACAGGGAAUCCUGUGGGGACAAGCUGCAGCUGUCUUGUCCCCGCAUGCAGCAGCUCGCAGGCGUUGUCCCCUCCUGUCCCGGCACGGAGCUGGGCUGCAGCGGCUGCAGAGCCCCAGGGGCCGCGGCUGCGGGCACCGGAGAGCUCCCAGAGGCCGCGCUUGUCUCCGCAGUGCCAUCAGCGAGGGUGUGAAGCUGUUCCCGAGGCCAAUCUCCGAAAGACUUUUUCAAUCUUCCUGAUGACUCCAGAGCAAGGGGAUGUUUAUUCCAAGAAGAGAGAUGCCAGCUGUGAGCAGGAGGAGAGUGAAUUCUGAUCCCAUCAUGGAGUUGUGAAGGAGCUCCUGCAUCUCCAGGAGGGAUCAGCAGCUGGGGUUCCACACUUGCCUGGGGUGCAAGAAGCCACUUGUCAUGAGCAGGGGGAUGCCACUUAUGAGCAUGCAGAGAGUGAAGAUGUGGAGAAUGAAUUCUGCAUCAGUGAUGGGAGUGUGAGGAAGCCCCUGGGUCCUUAGGGCACAUCAGCACCUGGCAAUGUACACAGAAGGAUCCUCAGAAGAUUCUGGGCAAGCGGUUCAGGUGCCAUCCCCUGCUUGUGUUGGUGCUGGUUGUGCUCGUGUUGCUGGUGCUGGCUUUGGCGGUGGCCUUGGCUGUGCAGUCAGCACCACAGGUUCCAAUCACACCUGUGACUCCGCUCUUGGUUCUGGGCUGUUCUUCUGCCUGAAUUGGGUGCAAUGGGGUCUGCUACUACUUCUCCAGGGAUCACGGCACCUGGGAGCAGGGUCAGAAGCGGUGCUCCAAGCUCGGGGCCUCCUUGGCCAUUGUCAGGGAUGAGAACCUGGAACAUCAAUUACUGGCUCGGGCUGCGCAGACGGGGCCAGCGCCUGCACUGGGGGGACGGCAGCAACUUCAGCUCCUGGGUUCCUGUCCUUGGCAAUUCCGAGUGUGUGUACCUGGCUGACAAUAAAUUCCACAGUGAGAACUGCUCCAAUCAGCAUCCAUAUCUGUGCAGCAAGGCCCAAGCUCCCCUGUGACAGGGGCUGCAGAAAGGACCUUCUCCACGCUAGGCAGUCCCUGCUUCAUCUCUUAGCCCGGCACAGGGCUCUCCUUCCUCCGCUACAGCCUGUGCCUUGCCCUCACUCUCAGGGUCACCUCCGUGCCUGUUCCUCGCCACUGCCAAGGCCGGGCUGGGUGUCCAAAGGAAAAGUCUCCGUAAUCCCUCCUGCCCCCGGUGCUGCCUGCAGGGAGGGCAUUGCCCUCGUGACACCCCCAGCUCCAAGGGCAGCCACCAGCGCCCCUGCCGGCAGUGCGGGAACUGCAGGGAAGGGGAAAGCGCCUGCGGCCGAGAGCAGCUGGGCCUGAGUUUGGGCUCUGUUUGUUGUUCAUGCCGCACUCGGGGUUGUCUGUCCACUUUGUGCUACGUACAAGUAAAGAACUGUUAUUCUUCUCAUAGCUUAGCCUGAGAAACCCCUUCAUUUCAAAAUGAGAAUCAUUUGGAGGGAAGGAUUUUCCAUUUUCCAUAGCAAGGGAGGCUCCUGCCUUCCUUAGCAGACACUUGUCUUUCCAACCAAACCAGCCCCAUCCCUCUGUGGAACUG